rnacentral:rRNA from 1 species
GAUGAACGCUGGCGGCGUGCCUAAUACAUGCAAGUCGAGCGAACAGAUGAGGAGCUUGCUCCUCUGACGUUAGCGGCGGACGGGUGAAUAACACGUGGGUAACCUACCUAUAAGACUGGGAUAACUUCGGGAAACCGGAGCUAAUACCGGAUAACAUGUUGAACCGCAUGGUUCUACAGUGAAAGACGGUCUUGCUGUCACUUAUAGAUGGAUCCGCGCCGCAUUAGCUAGUUGGUAAGGUAACGGCUUACCAAGGCAACGAUGCGUAGCCGACCUGAGAGGGUGAUCGGCCACACUGGAACUGAGACACGGUCCAGACUCCUACGGGAGGCAGCAGUAGGGAAUCUUCCGCAAUGGGCGAAAGCCUGACGGAGCAACGCCGCGUGAGUGAAGAAGGUCUUCGGAUCGUAAAACUCUGUUAUUAGGGAAGAACAAAUGUGUAAGUAACUAUGCACGUCUUGACGGUACCUAAUCAGAAAGCCACGGCUAACUACGUG